rnacentral:rRNA from 1 species
ACAAGACUCGUUGGUGACCAGCGGAGGGUCAUUACCGAGUUUACAACUCCCAAACCCAAUGUGAACGUUACCAAACUGUUGCCUCGGCGGGGUCACGCCCCGGGUGCGUCGCAGCCCCGGAACCAGGCGCCCGCCGGAGGAACCAACCAAACUCUUUCUGUAGUCCCCUCGCGGACGUAUUUCUUUACAGCUCUGAGCAAAAAUUCAAAAUGAAUCAAAACUUUCAACAACGGAUCUCUUGGUUCUGGCAUCGAUGAAGAACGCAGCGAAAUGCGAUAAGUAAUGUGAAUUGCAGAAUUCAGUGAAUCAUCGAAUCUUUGAACGCACAUUGCGCCCGCCAGUAUUCUGGCGGGCAUGCCUGUCCGAGCGUCAUUUCAACCCUCGAACCCCUCCGGGGGAUCGGCGUUGGGGAUCGGGACCCCUCACACGGGCGCCGGCCCCUAAAUACAGUGGCGGUCUCGCCGCAGCCUCUCCUGCGCAGUAGUUUGCACAACUCGCACCGGGAGCGCGGCGCGUCCACGUCCGUAAAACACCCAACUUUCUGAAAUGUUGACCUCGGAUCAGGUAGGAAUACCCGCUGAACUUAAGCAUAUCAAUAAGCGGAGGA